rfam:Clostridium ventriculi strain 2789STDY5834858 genome assembly, contig: SCcontig000001
UACUUAUCAAGAGUGGUGGAGGGACUGGCCCUAUGAAGCCCAGCAACCAAUUUUAUGGUGCUAAAUCCUGCAGUUUUUACUGAAAGAUAAGAG